rnacentral:rRNA from 1 species
GUCUAUGGCCAUACCACCCUGAACAUGCCUGAUAUCGUCUGAUUUUGGAAGCUAAGCAGGGUCAGGCCUGGUUAGUACCUGGAUGAGAGAAAAACCUUUGGUAUUCCUGAAUUCGUGCUGGUCUUAGAUU